ensembl:lncRNA
AUUUUACUUAAAUAUCUCUAUAUACUAGUUACUCUCGUUCUGAAGAUGCUUCGACGUUUUCCAAUGGUAAAAAGCUCACUUAACAAACGGUUUUUAUCCGUUGGAGAUUGUGCUCGAGCAAACUCGAUAAACUAUAUUGUGCUCGAGACACUAUGCUGAUCUCUCAAAUGAACCAUUAAUUCAACCCCUGAUUACACUGUUUAUUUGGGAAGUUGCAAUAAGGAUUUAUUUUAUUAAUGGCUAGAUUGUUUAUUCAUGACAUGGCUAGAUUGUUUCAGGCUACUGGAAAUACAGUUAUUGUUGUUGGCGUUGUGGUAACUGUUAUUCACCUUGUGUCAAACAGAUGACUACAUCUAGCUUUGGUACUUACCUCCCAGAGAUCUGCUGUCCUGCUGGUCUCAUCUUCGCUGAGGACCACUUUGAGGUGCUCCUACCAGGGCCAGGUGGAUGUUUGUGUGGUGGACUCUCCUCAUACUCAGAAAUGGGUGUGGGACUUUGCCCACAGCUGCUAUGUCUGAAAGGUCCCUUCCCCCGUGAAAGUAUCUGCUUAGAAAAGCAUUGGACAAGAGGAAAGGACAGGAGAGGAAUCUCCUGAUGUUGUUAGAUUUGCGGACCAUCUUCAUUUGUCACAGAAAGUACUUGAAUGGUCGAGCAUGAGGUGUUAUCCAGAACACCAUAUGUUCGAGGAUCAUCACAGAGGUGGAGUAGGCCAUGCAUGUUAUAUGUAAUGUACUCUGCCGUACAGUUUCCUAAAGUUGUGUAAUACAAAUAAACCUAGCAGGCUGUCAGGAUAGUGGAUGUUCAGAGAGAAACUCUCCAGAAGAUGGUCAUGGCUGCACAUAGGAGCAUGACGUUUUGAUAUCUUCACAGCAACCUGAACGUCGUCUUGAUGACCACAUCUUGGUCAUAUCUCGGAGCUGCUGUACCUUAAAGGAACGUUAUCCACACCAAAUAAUGCACCUCCCUCGAUGAAACAUGCUGGAAGCCACUGUGACCUUUUGUUUUUCUUAUAAAUGCAUGGACUGGGUCCUCACACACAAUAGCAGAAUACCGGGGGUGGGCCGAUCGGCAUUCAGACAAAUGGGGCUGGUUGCUCAGUCGAUCAGCCUCAAAUUCCAUAUUUUGCCCAUAAGCCGUUUAAGAGCUUUCAGCUCGCGGUCCGCAGCUGGACCGAUAGCUGUAUCAUAAGAGUUGUUUUGCCGCCCGU